GGAAUUACUGGGNGUAAAGCGAGCGCAGACGGUUUAUUAAGCAAGAUGUGAAAUNCCCGAGCUUAACUUGGGAACUGCGUUUNGAACUGGUAAGCUAGAGUAUNUCAGAGGGGGGUAGAAUUCCACGUGUAGCAGUGAAAUGCGUAGAGAUGUGGAGGAAUACCGAUGGCGAAGGCAGCCCCCUGGGAUAAUACUGACGUUCAUGCUCGAAAGCGUGGGUAGCAAACAGGAUUAGAUACCCUGGUAGUCCACGCCCUAAACGACGUCAAUUAGCUGUUGGGCAACAUAAUUGCUUAGUAGCGUAGCUAACGCGUGAAAUUGACCGCCUGGGGAGUACGGUCGCAAGAUUAAAACUCAAGGGAAUUGACGGGGACCCGCACAAGCGGUGGAUGAUGUGGAUUAAUUCGAUGCAACGCGAAGAACCUUACCUGGUCUUGACAUGUACGGAAUCUUCCAGAGACGGAAGAGUGCCUUCGGGAGCCGUAACACAGGUGCUGCAUGGCUGUCGUCAGCUCGUGUCGUGAGAUGUUGGGUUAAGUCCCGCAACGAGCGCAACCCUUGUCAUUAGUUGCCACCAUUCAGUUGGGCACUCUAAUGAGACUGCCGGUGACAAACCGGAGGAAGGUGGGGAUGACGUCAAGUCCUCAUGGCCCUUAUGACCAGGGCUUCACACGUCAUACAAUGGUCGGUACAGAGGGUAGCCAAGCCGCGAGGUGGAGCCAAUCUCAGAAAACCGAUCGUAGUCCGGAUUGCACUCUGCAACUCGA
rnacentral:rRNA from 1 species